rnacentral:rRNA from 1 species
CCUACGGGAGGCAGCAGUGGGGAAUAUUGGACAAUGGGCGCAAGCCUGAUCCAGCAAUACCGCGUGAGUGAUGAAGGUCUUCGGAUUGUAAAGCUCUUUUAGUGGAGAAGAUAAUGACGGUAUCCACAGAAAAAGCACCGGCAAACUUCGUGCCAGCAGCCGCGGUAAUACGAAGGGUGCUAGCGUUGUUCGGAAUCAUUGGGCGUAAAGCGUACGUAGGCGGUUUAGUAAGUCGAUUGUGAAAUACCCGAGCUCAACUUGGGAAUUGCAAUCGAAACUGCUUUGCUAGAGUUUAGUGGGGGAUAGUGGAAUUCCUAGUGUAGGGGUGAAAUCCGUAGAUAUUAGGAGGAACAUCAGUGGCGAAGGCGACUAUCUACGCUAAUACUGACGCUAAGGUACGAAAGCGUGGGGAGCAAACAGGAUUAGAUACCCUGGUAGUCCACGCAGUAAACGAUGAGUGCUAGUUGUCGGGGUCUUAGACUUCGGUGGCGAAGCUAACGCGUUAAGCACUCGCCUGGGGACUACGGUCGCAAGACUAAAACUUAAAGGAAUUGACGG